CAGAGUCGUAAAACACUCCCAAACCCAUGUGAACUUACCUUUGUUGCCUCGGCAGGACCUACCCGGUAGCUACCCUGUAGCUGUCUUGUAGCCUGCCGGUGGACCAUUCAACUCUUGUUAUUUUAUAUAAAUCUGAGCGUCUUAUUUAAUAAGUCA
rnacentral:misc_RNA from 1 species